GCCCAAUCUGGUGAGCACAAUAGACAGGGCAACACCUAACUCACUUGGUUUAUGAUCACACUAGGGCUUAGGUAUGAGACAGUGGUGUGCACACCAAAAGGCUGAAACUUAAGCACCUUAGAAACUUUUACAGCAAAAAUAUGGGGCCUCUGUGUUCCUUUGCCUGGUUUGUUCCUUUCUUCUGUUGCAAAGGGUCACUAACCUCAUUGAUUUAGGAAGAGGCCUGGACUAAAGAAAGCUACAGAAACAGAAGGCCAGAAUGACGACAAAGUCCAGGGGGCGAUCAGAAGAGAAUUUAGAAAAACUGAACUAAAGAUGAUAAAGGCAAAAUGAAAGUUUUAGAUUGACUACAUCUAUAUUGUCAGUGUAUUUGCUUAGUAGGCAAGGCCCUGUCUGCUCUGUUGACACUACAUAUUCCAAUGACUUUUCACAAGAGAUGGGGCUCGCCACAAGCCUUCCUCCAACUUGGCGCUUGCUGACUUCCAACCUGAGGUUGGUUCACUCAGCGGUGGGGCAGGAGUUGAGACUUACAAGAAGAGGACAAGAUAUCAGCAAGAAAAUGGACACUUCCAGUUUUUUUCACAGUCACUGAAAAAGAUACUUGAAAGAGCAUUUGCACAAAAACCUUAGAAGGAAACACUCAUCACAGGGAACUGACUGCUCCUCUCCUGGCUCCCCACUAGUGCCUGUCUGGGUCUUCCUCCCAGUGGCACCUGGAAACAGUCCAGAUUAACUGUGCUGCCAAGCAGCAAUUCCCACCCCAUGCCUGUGAAGUAAUAAAAUGCGGAGGAAGAGCCCACCAUUCUCCCCCACUAUUAGACAGACUAAAAGGGGAAGGAGGCACUAUCCACCACCCCCUCUGAAAUGAGCGAGGGGGAGGGGGAAUGCUACGAGGAACUGGAUGUAGUCUCGUCCCACCGUUGUGGGGUGCUGUGCGUGUCCGGGUGCCAUACUGGGUCAUGAAAUUAGCGUAUGGGGUUUUCUCUCUCUCGCUGGGGGGUGACGAUCUGCCUCUGGGGAGG